UCUUCCCUCUGGCGGCGUGCCUAAUACAUGCAAGUCGAGCGAACGGACGAGAAGCUUGCUUUUCUGAUGUUAGCGGCGGAUGGGUGAGUAACACGUGGAUAACCUACCUAUAAGACUGGGAUAACUUCGGGAAACCGGAGCUAAUACCGGAUAAUAUUUUGAACCGCAUGGUUCAAAAGUGAAAGACGGUCUUGCUGUCACUUAUAGAUGGAUCCGCGCUGCAUUAGCUAGUUGGUAAGGUAACGGCUUACCAAGGCAACGAUGCAUAGCCGACCUGAGAGGGUGAUCGGCCACACUGGAACUGAGACACGGUCCAGACUCCUACGGGAGGCAGCAGUAGGGAAUCUUCCGCAAUGGGCGAAAGCCUGACGUAGCAACGCCGCGUGAGUGAUGAAGGUCUUCGGAUCGUAAAACUCUGUUAUUAGGGAAGAACAUAUGUGUAAGUAACUGUGCACAUCUUGACGGUACCUAAUCAGAAAGCCACGGCUAACUACGUG
rnacentral:rRNA from 1 species